CUAACCCUUUAUUUUGUAGGUCUUUUUCUCAGGAAUUUUUACUCGAUUGGCCCAGAUCCACUUCAAGGGUCCAAGGACUUUGCACCCGUACCAAAAUUGCAUGCAUCAAUAUUAAAAUACAGUCAAAUAGCCUAAAAAACCCACUUUUGAUUUUGAUUUUAUAACUGAUAAUUUGAAAAAUAAUUUUAUAAAAUCGCUAAUCACAAUCCAACUUGAAAAUAAUUUUAAGAAAAACCAGUUUGUUUAAGCUUAUGAUUUUCUACUUAUUGUUUAGCUCAAUAAGUGUUCUCUUAUUGUUGUCCAGAAAUCUGCAUGUGAGGUGUGCUUAUACUCUAUUAUGUUAUUAUUAUUAUUAGAGUAAAGUGUUAGAUGAUUUUAAAAUCAGAAUAUUGGUAAAUUUUUAAACACAAUUUUAAGAAAAAUUGGUGUCGCGCAACUACUAGUUGUUUUCUUUUUUUAAUUGCAAGCAAACCACUACUUCAGACCCUUUUGGUAGAGCCGCCAUUAAUUAAGUAACAAUGGCCAAUAACAUUAGAUUCUUGCAAUUACUAUCUCAUCAAAUUAAAGAGAAUAUUGUUUGUAUUGAAAAAGACAAGUACUUGUACCUAAAAUCGACAUCUCAUUGGUUCCAAAUUUUAUUAAUCAUAAUAACUUCUAAAUUAGUAUUUGUCUUCAUGUAAUUAAUAAAGUGCAACAGGAAAGAAACCCUUCAAUUAUUUAUAAUUAGUCUAACCCAUCUGAAAAAUUGAAUUAUUGAUAUUCUUCUAUGUAUUCAUAUAUCUUUCAUCUCAGCUCUCAUCGUCUUCCCUCUCAACUCUCGUAUAAGCAGAAAACAGCUUCCGACUUAAUUUAAGCUGCUACAAUGGAAAACUACAAGCAUGGGGAAGAUGAGGAAGCAGGUGCGCUGGCCUUGGCUGCUUGUGUCUCUCAUAUCUUCCCCAUGGCUUUGGACGCCGCCAUUCAACUUGACCUCUUUGAGAUCAUUGCCAGGGCCGGCGGUGGGGCCCAACUCUCCCCUUCUGAAAUCGUCUCCCAACUUCCGCCCAGCCACGACGGAGUAGCCGCCGUGCUUGAUAGCCUGCUCCGGCUGCUGGCCACCCACUCUUUGCUUACUUGUUCUGUGAGCAAGCUUGAGAAUGGGGGAAUAGAACUUGCUCCGGUGGGAAAGUUCUUCGUGCGAGAUGAGGAUGGGGUGUCAUUUGCUCAGCUUUGGCCAAUCACUAGUCAGUGCGUAAAGGGGUUCAGGCGUAGAGCAUAUUGGUGGGGAUAUGUUUGUUCAAGUACCAAAAGGAGAUGCCAUCUUACUCAAGGUAUAUUUCAACCUUAGUUUUAUAUUUUGGACAUGUUUACUAAGGCGUAUUAGGCGGGAUAUACGCUGUAGUCCUGAUCAGUCAUUCGUUUACUUGCUAAUGAGGCGGCCCGUUACUACCCAGCAAAGCUCGAGACAUGGUGUGAUGAAUCUGCUGAUAAGAAUCCGGCCAAUUUGGGUGGGAUUUAUACUAUCCCGACGCCGCAGCCGUGUGGUUUUGACUAUAUUACCCUCAAAUUAGCACUUGAAAUGACACCGUUGUCCUUGUAGACACCCCCACCGCCUUCACUUCGCUCUCGAUUUUUCAUUUCAAAUCCUCUUCUUUCUCGUGUUCUGCAAAAUCCCGCUCGUACGCAAACGUGUACCAGCUAGCCACCAGUAUCAUCGUGUAAAGGUGAGUUCUUCGUCGCCAGUGUUCGUCGGAAUCAUACCGAGACGUCCCAUUUACGCUGUCCCAUGAGUACUCGUUCGUUACAAUCGUUGUUGUUUGUGGUUCGCACUAUCAUCCUUCGCGAUCUUAAGGUGGGUUUCUUUCAACCCAUUACUUUCUCAGUUGAAGGUGUUUCAGUAGUAUUGUGCCUUAUACUCUUUACUAUCUUUAAAUUUUACUUGGGUUGAGCAUACUGUAAUAAUGAACUGAUGUUCAUUUGUCCUGUUAAUAUGAUGGCACAACCGGUAUGUGCCUUUGUUGUUUGUUAUUGUAUACCAUAUUUGCUUCAACAGUGGUCAUUUUGUUGCAGCAAAUAAUUUUUCUGUUCUGUACCUUGGUUGUUAAGAAUAUGGCCAUUUACUCAGUUUGGAUCUGUUGUCACUCAGUGUUUAGUGAAUUCGCAUCCUCCUUGCCUUUGCAUUCGUCCAAACUACUCCAUUGUGAAUAAAAGUGCUUUUCAUGUUUAGGAUGAGGUCAUUUCAAAGAGUUACUUUGGCUUUAAUAAUUUUACAACAAAUCCUCGACGAGCUUACAGUCGCUCUCACAUUGUUCACUUCUGUUACAAAACACAUGAAUGCACGUAAACCUUAUCGUCCUCGGACUGGACCUUCGAGAUUCUUAACCAAUAUUUGGGUACCGGAGCAGAUUAGUCACCUUCACCGGCUAGUUUCAGUUACCGAUGAGUCAUGUCUAUGCAACUUACGUAUGGACCGUAACGCCUAUGGUCGGCUGUGCUAUUUGCUCCAAUAUACCGGUGGAGUUUCAAAAAGCUGGGUUUGUACCGUACCCGAGCAAGUCGCUAUUUUUCUUAGUGUUGUGGUCCAUCAUAAAAAGAUUUUUGUGGUGAAGCAUGAUUUCCUAUGUUCCGGCCGCACGAUCCACAAACAUUUCCACCGGGUCCUCAGAGCAAUAAUCAAACUGUACAACAUACUCCUAGCCCGAUCUACCCCAAUUACCGACUAUUGCGUCAACCCACGGUGGAGGUGGUUUAAGGGUUGUCUCGGGGCGUUGGAUGGAACCUUCAUUGACGUCCGAGUACAUGAAGUUGAGAAAGAACAGUAUCGAACCCGCAAAGGCCACGUCGCUGUGAAUAUACUUGGUGCCUGCAACCCUAAUAUGCAAUUUAUAUACGUUCUUUCUGAUUGGGAGGGGAGUGCAGCGGAUAGCCGUGUUUUGCGUGAUGCCGUUCACAGACAGGGUGGACUAAGUUCCUAAAGGACAGUACUACUUGUGUGACAAUGGCUACGCCAAUGCUGAAGGUUUCUUGACCCCGUACCGAGGUGUAAGGUAUCACCUAUGCGAAUGGGACAGUGGAGCUGGUGGACACAAAAUAAAUAUGAGUUUUUCAACUUCAAGCACUCCUCCGCUUGGAAUGUCAUUGAGUGUACUUUUGGUCUACUGAAAAUGCGAUGGGAAAUUCUAAGAAGUCAAUCAUUUUACCCCAUUAAGGUGCAAAACAGGAUCAUCUUGGUUUGUUACUUGUUGCACAAUUUUUUAAGGACCAAAAUGUCUGAUGAUCCGCUGGUGAACGAGUUGCCCAGUGAUGGAGCUGAAGGUACUGAUGCAGAUGCCGAUUGCGUGUGGAACAUUGAGAGCAACCCGUCAUAGAAUUCUUGGAGGGAUGCAAUGGCAACGUCUAUGUACAAUGAGUGGACAAGUCCUAUGUGACGUCGUAUAUCCAAAAUAUAAUGGCUUCAUCUUUCAUCCUUCAUAAAGCUUGUAACAUGAAGGAUGAAAGUUCAGUUGUAAUACACAGUGCUCUAUCCCCAAAGUUAUGUUGGCCUCUUAGGUUUGGGAGAUGGUCAUAUUAAAAUCUGUUUUCUACUUGUUCUUGUUUGAAACAUUUAUGGUACCCUUCAUUUCUUCAAUUCUCUUGUUUCUUUUGUAUGGGAUGUGGUGUUGCGAUGUAUUUGGACGUUACGUGUUUGUACUCAGUGGUUUUUUGUUACUUGUUCUCUCAUUAAUAUAGCCCGAAAGUUGUAUGAGCCUUUUAAUUUCC